AGUGAACGCUGGCGGUAGGCCUAACACAUGCAAGUCGAACGGCAGCACAGUAAGAGCUUGCUCUUACGGGUGGCGAGUGGCGGACGGGUGAGGAGUACAUCGGAAUCUACUUUUUCGUGGGGGAUAACGUAGGGAAACUUACGCUAAUACCGCAUACGACCUACGGGUGAAAGCAGGGGAUCUUCGGACCUUGCGCGAUUGAAUGAGCCGAUGUCGGAUUAGCUAGUUGGCGGGGUAAAGGCCCACCAAGGCGACGAUCCGUAGCUGGUCUGAGAGGAUGAUCAGCCACACUGGAACUGAGACACGGUCCAGACUCCUACGGGAGGCAGCAGUAGGGAAUAUUGGACAAUGGGCGCAAGCCUGAUCCAGCCAUACCGCGUGGGUGAAGAAGGCCUUCGGGUUGUAAAGCCCUUUUGUUGGGAAAGAAAAGAAGCAGGUUAAUACCCCGCUGUUCUGACGGUACCCAAAGAAUAAGCACCGGCUAACUUCGUG
rnacentral:rRNA from 1 species